rnacentral:rRNA from 1 species
CCGCCUACGGGAGGCAGCAGUGAGGAAUAUUGGUCAAUGGUCGGGAGACUGAACCAGCCAAGCCGCGUGAGGGAUGAAGGCACAGAGUAUCGUAAACCUCUUUUGUCAGGGAACAAAGGCGGGGACGUGUCCCCGGAUGAGUGUACCUGAAGAAAAAGCAUCGGCUAACUCCGUGCCAGCAGCCGCGGUAAUACGGAGGAUGCGAGCGUUAUCCGGAUUUAUUGGGUUUAAAGGGUGCGCAGGCGGUCUGUUAAGUCAGCGGUCAAGGCCCGGGGCUCAACCCCGGCGCGCCGGUGAAA